rfam:Hepacivirus hominis isolate HCV153 polyprotein gene, complete cds
CCAUUGCGCGAUGCUCACCUCCUUGACUUGUCUGGGUGGUUUGUAUCGGGCUACAGCGGGGGGGACAUCUUUCACAGCGUGUCCCGUGCCCGACCCCGCACUUUACUCCUGUGCCUACUCCUACUUACCGUAGGGGUAGGCAUCUUUUUGCUCCCCGCCCGGUAGACGGGCGGCCUAAA